rnacentral:lncRNA from 1 species
ACUGCUUCCCAGGAACCCAGAGGCCCACACCAGCUCCCACUGCCACCACCAAGGUUAUGUUAUGCUCACCAGCCUCAGACUCUGUGUCUACAAAACAGGAAUGCAGAGGAGAGCUGCUGUGAGAACCUGCUGACCCACCCUACACCAAAUCCUGGGCUUGCAAUCAGUCCAGGUUCACGGAGGUCCUGCUGCACAGCGUGUGACUGGUCCCAUGCUGGGCACUUCAGCCCAAGAGAUAACAAGACACAGGGGGCAGCCCGGAGGACACUCAGGGCCAUAAGGAGACAGACAGGGGUUCGAAUCUCUUGGAGCCAACCCAGUGGUGACAAGUACACUUAGGUUCUGGGGAGGACAGUAAGGAGGGGGUACUGUGUAGGGAAGGAUGAAGUGGGGAGCAGAAAGGUCCAGAGAGGGAACAACACAGGCAAAGGUGACCUGGCCAUGGAGGUGGCCUUGUGGAGCCCUGGCCCUGGGGACCAUGGACAGAGGGAGCUGGAGCAACAGCCCAAGUGGGGGUCGAAGAAGAGAUGUGGUCCCGGAGGGGACUGCAAGGUGAAUGGAGACACAAGCAGGGGACUGCAGAGACCCGGAGGCAACACUGGCAGUCCUGCUGUGCUCAGCAGAACACGUCCCCAAGUUGUCCCGUCCUAAUCCCAGAACAUAUGGAUGCCUUAUGCUUCGUGGCAGGGACAAUCAGUCGCAGAUGGAAUUGAGGUUGCUAAUCAGCUGAUUUGAGACGGGGCUGUGACUCUGGAUUAUCUGGCUGAGCCACUGGAAUUGCUUUAAAUGUGGAAGAGGGAGGCGUCAGAGGGAUGCUGCCGGUGGCUUUGAAGCUGGAAGGGGAGCGGUGUGGGCGGCCAAGGAAGCAGACUCCCUCCAGAGCCUCCAGGAGGAGUGUGACUUCCCCCACACCUUGAAUUUAGCCCCACGGGGCUGGUCAGACCUCUGACCCAUAGAACGGAAAGAUGGUACAUUCAUGCUAAGCCGCUCGAUCUGCAGUGAUUUGUUACAGGGGCGACAGGAAGCACAGUGCUGG